ensembl:lncRNA
CUGUGUGGCAAAUUCACUCAGUUAGUUUUAAGUUUGAGAGCAACACACACUGAGGUUUUCCUGUUAGAAAUCCUUUAAACAUCACAAUGUCUAAAGGGUCGGAAACGGGGAAGAUGAUUACGCGUUCUAUGGUCCCAAGAAGAGCUCGAAUCUGUAGAUCGCAAUGCAAGCUUAUCGGACCAAAGUCCAUCGUUAGAAAAGCAGAUGCCGAAGAGGAGGAUGAGCAGAAACGCCAAUCUGACAACAAAGACACUCAUCAAAGUGUCCUGGCUUUCAAAAGCUAAAAGUGAAAGAGCCACAGGCGUGCAAACAAGUCAGUGUCCAACUCAGCAGUCACUGAGCCGGUGUCCUUUUUGGGAGGAUCAAAGAUCAAUGAUCGAUUUUGUAAUCGUAUCGUCUGAUCUGAGGCCGCAUGUGUUCAAAACCUCCAUUGCUGAAGCCGC